GAAAGCAAAGCUCACGUGCCCUUGGCACAAUCUGAUGCAAAUACAGAAAUCUGAGUCCACCGUCAAUCGCGACGGCAACCGACAAUCCAAAAUAGUCUACACACUAUUGUAAAAUAAACUCGACAUCCCAGCACAAGCGUAAAUUCAUUCUACACUAUUCUGUAUAUCCACUGCGUACAAACUGCGGCGAUACAAACUAACUACAGCUCCUAAAGUUAAAUCUGUUAGUCUUAAGAAAGUGACAGUGUAGAAUCUGAUAGUUUUCUCCUAAGUCAAUUCUAAGUCCAACAUGUAAAAUUACACUACUAGCUUAACUCUAAAUUCAGAUUUAAAAUACUAAUCCAUGAAUUCGAGUACUAGCAAGAAAAUACACAGAUGAUACAUGUUGAUGAUGCUAAAACUUAGAAGAUAAU
rnacentral:lncRNA from 1 species